CCUACGGGAGGCAGCAGUAGGGAAUAUUGCUCAAUGGGGGAAACCCUGAAGCAGCAACGCCGCGUGGAGGAUGAAGGUUUUCGGAUUGUAAACUCCUUUUGUUAGAGAAGAUAAUGACGGUAUCUAACGAAUAAGCACCGGCUAACUCCGUGCCAGCAGCCGCGGUAAUACGGAGGGUGCAAGCGUUACUCGGAAGCACUGGGCGUAAAGGGCGCGUAGGCGGGAUAGCAAGUCAGAUGUGAAAUCCUAUGGCUUAACCAUAGAACUGCAUUUGAAACUGUUAUUCUAGAGUAUGGGAGAGGUAGGUGGAAUUCUUGGUGUAGGGGUAAAAUCCGUAGAGAUCACGAGGAAUACUCAUUGCGAAGGCGACCUGCUAGAACAUAACUGACGCUGAUGCGCGAAAGCGUGGGGAGCAAACAGGAUUAGAUACCCCUGUAGUC
rnacentral:rRNA from 1 species